UUGCAUGUAUCGCUCAAGGAGUCUUUUCCCUCAAUAUCCUGGAACAUUUUCCCAGUGUUUUCCUUCUGUAGUUUCAUAGUUUGAAGUCUUAGAUUUAAGUCUUUAAUUCAUUUUGAAUUGUUUUUUUUAUAUAGCAAGAGAUAAGGGUCCACUUUCAUUCUUCUUACUAUGAAUAUACAGUU